rnacentral:rRNA from 1 species
AGUGAGAUCUCUGGAGGUAACAUUGCGAUGCCUCGGUAUCGCGAUUGCUUUUGCCAAAGUUGAUCAAAUUGACGAUUUGGAGGAAAUAAAAGUCGUAACAAGGUUUCCGUAGGUGAACCUGCGGAAGGAUCAUUA